rnacentral:rRNA from 1 species
CCUACGGGUGGCAGCAGUGGGGGAUAUUGCACAAUGGGGGAAACCCUGAUGCAGCGACGCCGCGUGUGGGAAGACGGUCCUCUGGAUUGUAAACCACUGUCCCCAGGGACGAAGAUGACGGUACCUGGGGAGGAAGCUCCGGCUAACUACGUGCCAGCAGCCGCGGUAAUACGUAGGGAGCGAGCGUUGUCCGGAAUUACUGGGUGUAAAGGGAGCGUAGGCGGGACUGCAAGUUGGGUGUCAAAUCUACCGGCUCAACCGGUAGCCGCACUCAAAACUGCAGUUCUUGAGUGAAGUAGAGGCAGGCGGAAUUCCUAGUGUAGCGGGGGAAUGCGUAGAUAUUAGGAGGAACACCAGUGGCGAAGGCGGCCUACUGGGCUUUUACUGACGCUGAGGCUCGAAAGUGUGGGGAGCAAACAGGAUUAGAUACCCGAGUAGUC